rnacentral:rRNA from 1 species
AGUGAACGCUGGCGGUAGGCCUAACACAUGCAAGUCGAACGGCAGCACAGUAAGAGCUUGCUCUUACGGGUGGCGAGUGGCGGACGGGUGAGGAAUACAUCGGAAUCUACUUUUUCGUGGGGGAUAACGUAGGGAAACUUACGCUAAUACCGCAUACGGCCUACGGGUGAAAGCAGGGGAUCUUCGGACCUUGCGCGAUUGAAUGAGCCGAUGUCGGAUUAGCUAGUUGGCGGGGUAAAGGCCCACCAAGGCGACGAUCCGUAGCUGGUCUGAGAGGAUGAUCAGCCACACUGGAACCGAGACACGGUCCAGACUCCUACGGGAGGCAGCAGUGGGGAAUAUUGGACAAUGGGCGCAAGCCUGAUCCAGCCAUACCGCGUGGGUGAAGAAGGCCUUCGGGUUGUAAAGCCCUUUUGUUGGGAAAGAAAAGCAGCAGGUUAAUACCCCGCUGUUCUGACGGUACCCAAAGAAUAAGCACCGGCUAACUUCGUG